GGGCGAUUAGCUCAGGGGGAGAGCGCUUCCUUCACACGGAAGAGGUCGUGGGUUCAAAUCCCUCAUCGCCCAUCC
rnacentral:tRNA from 1 species